rnacentral:rRNA from 1 species
AACGAACGCUGGCGGCAGGCCUAACACAUGCAAGUCGAGCGCCCUUUCGGGGGAGCGGCGGACGGGUGAGUAACGCGUGGGAAUAUGCCCUUCUCUACGGAAUCGCCUCGGGAAACUGAGAGUAAUACCGUAUACGCCCUGUGGGGGAAAGAUUUAUCGGGGAAGGAUUAGCCCGCGUUGGAUUAGGUAGUUGGUAGGGUAAUGGCCUACCAAGCCGACGAUCCAUAGCUGGUUUGAGAGGAUGAUCAGCCACACUGGGACUGAGACACGGCCCAGACUCCUACGGGAGGCAGCAGUGGGGAAUCUUAGACAAUGGGGGCAACCCUGAUCUAGCCAUGCCGCGUGAGUGAUGAAGGCCUUAGGGUUGUAAAGCUCUUUCAGCUGGGAAGAUAAUGACGGUACCAGCAGAAGAAGCCCCGGCUAACUCCGUG